GACGAACGCUGGCGGCGUGCUUAACACAUGCAAGUCGAACGGAAAGGCCCUGCUUUUGUGGGGUGCUCGAGUGGCGAACGGGUGAGUAACACGUGAGUAACCUGCCCUUGACUUUGGGAUAACUUCAGGAAACUGGGGCUAAUACCGGAUAGGAGCUCCUGCUGCAUGGUGGGGGUUGGAAAGUUUCGGCGGUUGGGGAUGGACUCGCGGCUUAUCAGCUUGUUGGUGGGGUAGUGGCUUACCAAGGCUUUGACGGGUAGCCGGCCUGAGAGGGUGACCGGCCACAUUGGGACUGAGAUACGAGCAAGACGCCUACGGGAGGCAGCAGUGGGGAAUAUUGCACAAUGGGCGGAAGCCUGAUGCAGCAACGCCGCGUGCGGGAUGACGGCCUUCGGGUUGUAAACCGCUUUCGCCUGUGACGAAGCGUGAGUGACGGUAAUGGGUAAAGAAGCACCGGCUAACUACGUG
rnacentral:rRNA from 1 species